rnacentral:rRNA from 1 species
UACGUAGGUGGCAAGCGUUGUCCGGAAUUAUUGGGCGUAAAGCGCGCGCAGGCGAUCCUUUAAGUCUGAUGUGAAAGCCCACGGCUCAACCGUGGAGGGUCAUUGGAAACUGGGGGGACUUGAGUGCAGGAGAGAAGAGUGGAAUUCCACGUGUAGCGGUGAAAUGCGUAGAGAUGUGGAGGAACACCAGUGGCGAAGGCGACUCUUUGGCCUGUAACUGACGCUGAGGCGCGAAAAGCGUGGGGGAGCAAACAGG